GCCAGCAAAUCAGAGGGAAAAGCACUGCACAGCUACAGCGGCUUCUUUCCCUGUUGACCUGCUUGCAGGCAGUGGGUCCUGCUCUCCUCGCCAAAGCUUUUGCUAGGCAAGCAGUACUAAGAGGGUAACAUGUGACAGAGCAUCCCAUUCCUUUUAUCAAGCCACCUAGGUAGAUUCUUGAAUCCACCUCCUGGAAAGGAGGCAUAAACCUGCUGCCUGAGCUGUCUUAAGAGCUUGAUCAAGCAGUGAAGUUUGGGGCUGAGGAAAUAAGCAAGAUAGUGAAGAGGUGCUACACUUUCUGAGGCGUAUUUAGAGCUGAGUGCUGAGGAUGACCUGGAGAGACAUCUGACGUAAAGCACCACCUCCAGGAAGGCGUUCAGCUCCUGCUGAGGAUGAAAACAUGUGGGGGGACAGAAGGCCCUACCAGAGCUCUCAGUUAUAGUCAGACGUCCCUGCUGAUGGCUGGAGACUUGAAAGGAGAGAAGGUUCCCAGUCUAACACGUGGAGCUGCUGAGCACCUGAGAGGCAAAACCGUGUGUCAGGUGUUAAGCGUGUGCCACCAGCAGUCCCCAGUGAGAGGAGAAAACCAUAUCUCCUUGCUCUACUUCUCAGUCUCCUUCCCAUCAAGUAGCCUCAGGCAUUCAUGAAGGCAGGUACAAGAAGAAGAUGCAUCAUAGGAAAGUGGGCCCUUUGUCUACUAAAAGUAGGGCAGCGAAGCCUCCUCCCACCUGUGACUGCCAUGUGAGAUACCCGGAACAGGCUGGUAUAACCUUAGGGCACGCUAUUUUUCUUUAAAACACUACUGUUUCCAGAAACUUCUGUCAGAGAAUUGUAAGCAUAGAUGUAGGUGCCUACCCGGAUGGGGAAACUCUGGACAAGAAGGCCUAAGGCAUGCUGAGCUGUUACAACAUCUCAAGAGAGCAAGAUACUACGCACUACUGGCAGGUCAAAUCAAAAGAAUAAGGGCUGUCUUGCAAAGGUGGGGAGAGAGCAAAUUACAACCGCACAGGACUUAUGGACCCCUAACAAAUGCCUGAGAAAGUAAAGGAGAAAUAAGGAGCCAACAGAUGUACAGAUGCUUUGACUUUUCUGAGAAUGAAAAAUAUGCAAAACCCAAGAGACUGAACUCUUGAUUUGCAGCUAUAACUUUUGUGAUUGAAGCUAGUGAAAGGAUUUGGAAAUACGUACAGGAGGAAAAACCAGAACGCUGUGCUGUGUAGCAGAAUGGCGUCAGGCGGUGCAUGCCAUUGAAAGCCCAUGCGAGCUGUUGGGCUCCAACCUUGGCUGGACUGUGGAUGAGACCAGUGUUUGUAGGCGCUCCUGGCAUUGGGUCCCAGUUUCAAGACUUACAAGUUUGGAAGAAAAAUUAAUUCUAUUCGUAUGGCAGAGCUGGUUUUAAGGGAAAAAGGACGAUUUCUCAGAACACAGAGAAACUUCACCAGAAUACAUCAAAUAGCACUGAAAGUCAAUUAAUGCAGAGGUAGAAAAGGGAAGCAUCCAGCUUUACCUCUCUCCAGACUGUGAUAAGUCUCUUGCAAAUUUAACAGUCAGAAACGAUUGUUUUGUUUUCGACAAGUGGCAUUACUUCCUCUUAUACUGGAAUUAAAAUUGAUUAAAGCUGAUUCAUGACUUUUCAAUAUUUUCCGCAUCCGUUUGUUGCUUUCUAUUUGAAAACAUUAUUUCAGUGAAAUUAACACAGAUAGCUUUUCCUUGGUUUUUUUUUUUUUUUUUGAACUGUCUAAGUAUUAAGUUGAGAGAUUGGUAUAACUAGUGUUUUCUGACUGAGCAUAUUUGCUGCUACACUAUGCUGGUGAAUUUAGCAUUAAUUUCACUUUAGGUAGUAGA